GACGAACGCUGGCGGCGUGCUUAACACAUGCCAGUCGAACGGAAAGGCCCUGCUUGCAGGGUGCUCGAGUGGCGAACGGGUGAGUAACACGUGGGUGAUCUGCCCCUUACUUUGGGAUAAGCCUGGGAAACUGGGUCUAAUACUGGAUAGGACCAUGCUGUAGGUGGUGUGGUGGAAAGAUUAGUUUCGGUAAGGGAUGAGCUCGCGGCCUAUCAGCUUGUUGGUGGGGUAAUGGCCUACCAAGGCGUCGACGGGUAGCCGGCCUGAGAGGGUGGACGGCCACAUUGGGACUGGGAUACGGCGCAGACGCCUACGGGAGGCAGCAGUGGGGAAUAGUGCACAAUGGGCGCAAGCCUGAUGCAGCGACGCCGCGUGGGGGAUGACGGCCUUCGGGUUGUAAACUCCUUUCAGCCAUGACGAAGCCCUUGUGGUGACGGUAGUGGUAGAAGAAGCACCGGCUAACUACGUG
rnacentral:rRNA from 1 species